rnacentral:rRNA from 1 species
CGUACACUCCUGCGGGAGGCAGCAGUGGGGAAUAUUGCACAAUGGGCGCAAGCCUGAUGCAGCCAUGCCGCGUGUAUGAAGAAGGCCUUCGGGUUGUAAAGUACUUUCAGCGGGGAGGAAGGCAAUACGGUUAAUAACCGUGUUGAUUGACGUUACCCGCAGAAGAAGCACCGGCUAACUCCGUGCCAGCAGCCGCGGUAAUACGGAGGGUGCAAGCGUUAAUCGGAAUUACUGGGCGUAAAGCGCACGCAGGCGGUCUGUCAAGUCGGAUGUGAAAUCCCCGGGCUCAACCUGGGAACUGCAUUCGAAACUGGCAGGCUUGAGUCUUGUAGAGGGGGGUAGAAUUCCAGGUGUAGCGGUGAAAUGCGUAGAGAUCUGGAGGAAUACCGGUGGCGAAGGCGGCCCCCUGGACAAAGACUGACGCUCAGGUGCGAAAGCGUGGGGAGCAAACAGGAUUAGAUACCCCAGUAGUCCCAUGA